AUCAGGGCUGACUCCCGCUGUGUUCUGACAAACACUGGAACCGAAGGAGACGUUGAAAUCGUUUUCCAUAAAUUGUGGGUUCUUUACCACUAGUGCCACCUGGGAAGCCCGGUGAUGCAUGCUGCUGCUGCUGCCAAGUCACUUCAGUCGUGUCCGAUUCUGUGCAACCCCAUAGACGGCAGCCCAACAAGCUCCCUCGUCCCUGGGAUUCUCCAGUGUUCUUGCCUGGAGAAACCCAGGGACAGGGGAGCCUGAUGGGCUUCCGUCUAUGGGGUCGCAUAGAGUCGGCCACUACUGAAUCGACUUAGCAGCAGCAGCAGAAUGAAAAUUUAAAUAGGAAAAAAAAAAGGUCUUUAACAAUGCUUACUUUGUGAGUGCCUAAAGAUAACCCAGGGCUUCACUGGUGGCUCAGAUGGUAAAGAAUUUGCCUGCAAUGCAGGAUACCGGGGUUCAAAACCUAGUGGAGGUGAUGGAAUUCCAGUUGAGCUAUUUAAAAUCCUAAAACAUGAUGCUGUGAAAGUGCUGCACUCAGUAUGUCAGCAAAUUUAGAAAAUAGCAGUGACCACAGGACUGGAAAAGGUCAGUUUUCAUGCCAAUCCCAAAGAAACACAAUGCCAAAGAAUGCUCAACUACCGUUCUUUGCACUCAUUUCACAUGCUAAAAGGUUAUACUCAAAAUCCUUCAAGUUAGGAUUCAGCAGUAUAUGAAGUAAGAACUUUCAGAUGUACAAGUUAGCUUUAGAAAAGGCAGAGAAACGAGAUAUCAAAUUGCCAACAUCCACUGGAUCAGAGAAAGCAAGGAAAUUCCACAAAAACUUCUGCUUCACUGACUAGUGACAGCCUGAAAGCCUUUGACUGUGGAUCACAACAAAUUGCGGAAAAUUCCUAAAGAGAUGGGAAUACCAGACCACCUUAUCUGCCUCCUGAGAAGCCUGUAUGCUAGUUAAGAAGCAACAGUUAGAACCUUAUAUGGAACAACAGACUGGUUCAAAAUUGGGAAAGGAGUAAGACAAGGCUGUAUAUUGUCACCCUACUUAUUUAACUUAUAUGCAGAGUACAUCGUGCGAAAUGCUGUGCUGGGUGAAUCACAAACUGGAAUCAAGA
ensembl:lncRNA